rnacentral:rRNA from 1 species
GACGUAGGGCGCGAGCGUUGUCCGGAUUCAUUGGGCGUAAAGAGCUCGUAGGCGGCUUGGCAAGUCGGGUGUGAAAACUUCAGGCUCAACCUGGAGCGGCCACUCGAUACUGCCAUGGCUUGAGUCCGGUAGGGGACCACGGAAUUCCUGGUGUAGCGGUGAAAUGCGCAGAUAUCAGGAGGAACACCGGUGGCGAAGGCGGUGGUCUGGGCCGGAACUGACGCUGAGGAGCGAAAGCGUGGGGAGCGAACAGG